rnacentral:lncRNA from 1 species
UAACCAAACUUAUGUUUUCUCUCCUUCUAAAUAGAAUGAUAUGCAGUUCUCCUACAUAUUCUCCAAAAAAAGAAGUUGAUUUGUAAGAUGUCCAAAUUAAAGCCUUGCUGAAUGCUGAUCGCCUGAUCCAUUACAACAUAUGAGCAAAGCAAUCUGGCGGUUGCUGAAUGCAGAUCGAUGGCAAGUGCAUGCAAGGCUUGCGGAGCUAAUUACACAGAAGAGCUAACAUUCUAUAUAAACAAAGUAUGGAUGGCCUGCAGAAGAAGGAUCCCUCCUCCCAGCUACAAGCGGUGGCCGCCGGAGGAGCCAGCAAGCCCGUCGUCGAAGUUCUGGGAGUAGCUGUGCAGGUCAUACCCGAACGACCUCGCCGGGGCCCGCCUCGGCCGCGCCGCGCUCCUCCUCCUCAAGCCGGACCGCAGCCUCCUCAAGAGCCGGCUCACCGGCGCCGCCGGCGACUGCCGCGCCGCACCGCUGCUACCGCGGCUCACCCUCGUCCGGCCGCUACCAACGCCGCCGUACAGGCUCAUCAGAGACGCCAUCGUCCUCUCUCGACCACCCUCGCGCGCGCCUUCACGACUGCAGGUGCUGUUCUAGCCUUCUAGGCUUCUAGCUAGGUAGCUUCUUGUCUUUCGAGGAGCGAAGAUUGAAAGCCAGAUGAAGAGACACA